GACGAACGCUGGCGGCGUGCCUAACACAUGCAAGUCGCACGGGGUAGCAAUACCCAGUGGCGAACGGGUGCGUAACACGUGAGGAAUAUGACUUUCGGUGGGGGAUAGCCGGCCCAACGGCCGGGUAAUACCGCAUACGCUGCAUAGGGGGCAUCCCCUGUGUCGGAAAGCAGCAAUGCGCCGAAAAGGUACCUCGCGGCCUAUCAGCUAGUUGGUGAGGUAAUGGCUCACCAAGGCAACGACGGGUAGCUGGUCUGAGAGGAUGGCCAGCCACAUUGGGACUGAGACACGGCCCAGACUCCUACGGGUGGCUG
rnacentral:rRNA from 1 species